rnacentral:lncRNA from 1 species
GUUUUUUUUUUUUUUUGACGGGUCCCAAAACUGCACUGCAAUGUUAGGAAUAUUGGCGGUUAUUAGAUCGCUCCAAUUGAAUUCUUAAGUGUGACUUAGAAGAUUUCCAAGGCAAAUAGCAAACUUAUUUUUAGACAAGAAUAACCACCUUCGCUUAUACUGCAACAGUCUAAAAAGAAAUCUUGAAAAUGUACCAAUAGACUCAUUCAGCUAGAAGGAACUCGGGUUUGUUGCACUUGAUUCGAAUUCUACUUCAAAUCCCUCAAGAUUAUAUCAGUCAUGGAUUUCCAUGACUAGUAGCGUUCCACUCCCGCCUGACAGAGUUUAGUGCAUGACUUUGGAGUGAUCAACCACGCCGUCUCCAUGACCUAUCGAGUUUUCCUGUUCGCCACACCGUAUCUGGUGGGUUUCUUCAUCAGGUGCCACACAAUUAAACGUGAGAUGAUUUAACGAGUACAUGUGAGAGGGAGCACCAUCUAAGCACAUUUCAAGAUUGUCAAAGCACCCAAUUGCUUUCAGUUAUUGCACAAAUGUUGGACCACACAAGUAAGAAAUCUUUCGGAGAAAGCAUAAUACCUCUUCUGGUAUAUGGUCACGAGCGCCAUGAAGCGAAACGUGGCAUUGGGGUGGAACAGCAGAGGUGUUGUAUUUCAAUUGGUCACCGUUUACCCCCAUCUUUACCUUCCUGGAGAGAAACUCAUGCAGAGUCAGAAAAAUAUUACUUUUGAUCAAUCAAGCGCGCUUCCGCUCCAAAUUCAUCAUGCAAUCAAGAACGUGAUAGAUAAAUCAAACCUGGGUAACAGUAAAAUUACUUCUUCCCAAAAUGAGUAUUAUCAUAUUUCUUAUAGUUCUUGUUCCGUUGUGUCUUCUGAAAAUCAAUUUUACAUCAAAUUCUCUUAUCUUGUCAUGCCUGCAGACAAAAUCGAGUAUCGGCGAAACUAGCCCCAACAGUGUUGACUAACUCGUUUGUAUUGUUACUAGAGACAAUCCUUAACAAAAACAACUCAUGCCACGUCUAGCACAAAUAGUAUGUCGUUUAUACUCGGCGUUAUUAUUGAAUGAAAUAGUAAUAACAUAAAUUUACAGGCUCCGAAAUAAGUAUGAAAAGUUUACUUACAGAAAGUUUCCACCCACAUGGAUUCUGGCAUCGCUAAAAAGAUUCCACGGAAACGAAAUCGACAAAGCAUCCAUUACGGUAAGUGAAUUUAAACGAAGCCCAGAAAACAAUAAAAGGUAACAUAUAUUAAAGGAACCCUACCCACUUUAGCCCUGUCAAAAUGACCCAAUGCAUAACACCCAUAAUCGAUGCAAAACCUCACAACCUGCACGGCAACACAAAAUCUGACACCAUGAGAGCGAGAGAAAGAGAAAAAAGAGGUUUCUGUUUGAAAGCUACUAGUUCCCUUCGACCCAAGUAACGCAGUGAGGAACCUUUUGUAGCGCAAUUAGUUAAACGCCUCCUUUCUCUUGUCACGAAUUACGAGUAAUGCAC